GGCCUGAUAGCAUAACGGCUAGUGCUCCUGCUCUAUCUAACCACUGUGAAGCAUUUCUAAUGCGGGUUUUCUCGGUUCGACUCCGGGUCAGGCCA